CAGAGCUGCAAAACUCCCACAAACCAUCGCGAAUCUUACCCGUACGGUUGCCUCGGCGCUGGCGGUCCGGAAGGCCCUCGGGCCCCCCGGAUCCUCGGGUCUCCCGCUCGCGGGAGGCUGCCCGCCGGAGUGCCGAAACCAAACUCUUGAUAUUUUACGUCUCUCUGAGUAAACUUUUAAAUAAGUCA
rnacentral:misc_RNA from 1 species